CAAAUUAGAGUUUUUAAAAAGCGUUUUAGUUACAUUAAGAAGUUAAUUGUGAGAAUCAGUUUAAUUUGA
rnacentral:tRNA from 1 species